GCUGCUUGCACGUGCUCAGAGUCACUUUCAGUGCCCAGAAGGAGAAUGAAGGGAACUGCAGGCCUAUCAGCAUGAUCCUCAGUGUUGGGGAAGGUCAUGGAGCAGAACCCCUUGAAUACAAUCACAUAACACAUGCAGAGUCCCGACACAGCUUGGCCAUAAUUGGCCAAUGAGUCAAAACUACUCACACCAGAAAACAAAAAGCUUCCCAGGACAAAAAACCUGGGCGAAGGAUUUUUUCCAGAGAUUAUGAAUGCCACAAGAAUUGAGUGACCUAUGGUUGAUUUUAAAUUGUUCCUUGUGCUAUGGACACUGUUCUGUCAGUUUUAUGUCUCUCUCAGUGAAACAACGGCCAAGACAAAAAAAACCCAUCAAUUAUGAGAAGCCACAGUGGAGCAGCAUUGUGAAGCAGAGGAAAAUCAAGUAUUUCUGUUCCAUAAUUGGCAGCAGAAAACAGGAUGCUUGUGAGGCCUCCACGCUCUUCUUAUGUGGGUAACUAUAGGUCUGUGACAUACUACAAGAGCAUAUUUAGAAAAAUUAGUAGGGAUAGUGAUGUAUAUAAGAGCAAAUAAAGAGAUAAUGGGAAUAAGAAUUAACUGGAGGGAUCCUUUAAAAAUAUAAAAUUUAAAUAAAACUACUCUCCACAAACCUUUUCUGAUAGAGAAUAUCAUAGAAUCAUACAAUGCUUUGAGUUGGAAAGGACAUUAAGGAUCAUACUGUUCUAAUCUCCCAGACACUUUUCACUAGACCAAGCUGAUCAGAUAUGUGGAAGUUUAGUUCAUCACUUGGUUUUGAUAUAAGAAUAGAUGAUACAGAACAUCUUACAAACUUGUUUGUAAUGUACCAUAACAUUUUUUUUUAUGCACACUUGAACACAGAGGUGUAAUAGAGCCAUUUGAAACAGUCUUGUGACACACACAGAUAAACUAGAAUUGCAAUAGCUCUCCUAGUCCAUAUACCUUAUGACAAAAACACUGCUCGUGAUGCAUUACUCUGUAUUUAAAAAUGUAUUAGAGUACAAAGGAGCAAGAAGUAUAUACCUGAGUCCUAAAUAGUUCAUCUUUGAUUUAAAAUGUUUACUAGGACUGUCUUUUAUAAAUACACAUUAGGGGAGCUUGUGGUAGAAAGGGUUGUGGUCUCAGUGCUGCCUGCUUGAAGGCCCUCACAACUGCUGACUAGGAGCAAGAAAAUAAGUCUUAUGAAUAUUUUUAAAUAAUUUAAUCUGAAGACUUAUAGAUAUAAAUCAGAUCAGCAAAAUCACGUUAUUUUCUUCUUUCUGAAUUAUAUUUUUUUUAAUUCAGGCUAUGCUCAGUUAUAACCUGUAGCAAUUCUAAGUAAACACUAUAAUGAAAGAAUAUAGAUAAGGUCUUUGUUUUAAGCCUGAUUAAAAUACAUACUUAAAGAUAUUGCCUCAAUAUAUCUUGCUAAAAAAAUUUUAAAAUGGACUUUCUAUUCUUUAUUUUCCCUAAAUCUUAGGCUCCUUAUUUGUCUUUAAAUUCUACAUAAUUAAUGUAAUCUCUGAUAUUAUUCUUCCAUUGAUAUUUUGGAUAACAUUUUGUAGGUAUAAAUGGAUAUAAAAUUAAAUUUAGACUGGAAAACCUAAGCUCAGUAGGAAAUAUUUCUAUGUUAAUAAAAAACCCCUCCAAACUACCUCAAAAAUACUUAACCAGGGCUGUAUUAAAUUUCUUUAAAAGUGAAUUAAAGUUUAAGCUCUGUUUACUCAGAAAAUUUGCAAAGUGGCUGCAGUUAUAAAUGCAGUCACUUAAACAGACAAAGGGAUUGAGUGCACUCUCAUCAAGUUUGCAGAAGACUCCAAGCUGAGGGUGCAGUUGGCACACCUGAAGAAGGGGAUGCCACCCAGAGGAAUCCGGACAAGCUCAAGAAUUGGGCCCAUGCGAGUCUCAUGCAGUUUAACAAGAACAAGCACCAGGUGCUGCACCUGAGUGAGGACAACUCCUGGCAUCAAUGCAGGCUGAGGGAUGAAGAGAUGAAGAGCAGCCCUGUCGAGAAGGAGCUGGGAUCACAGUAUUUACAGUGUUUUUUCCAAUGUCUUCUAAAAGAUUAUUUGCAUCCUCUGCUGCUGCUGAAGUAAUGAAACAGUUUAUACAACUUUCAUUCACCUGCUCACAGUGAUACAACAGCCACUGUUCUGCAAAGUACUGUACUAAAAUCUAUCGCUAAGAAAAUCUGAGUUGCAGUCAAAGAUUAUAGUUAUUUUGGUAAGUACUUUGGUUUUUUGACUGAGGUGAUAUACUUGUAAAGUCCUAAUAUAAACACAGCUGAGUUAGCUCAGGUACUGUGACAUAUAAAUGAAGAUGUGACAGCUGUGUAGACAUGACACAGAGGGGAUUUAGAGCAGGUUUACAGAAAAAAAAGAGCCACAUGUCUCAGUGACAUAACUUGAAAUUUAUUUUUUAGGUAGCAUGGGAUUAGCAGGUGAAUAUCAAUCUCUAUUAUAAAGCUUCUGGUAUAAGAUUUCUAUGCUAUGGCACUCACAACAUGACAAGGAUCGUGUUUCCCCAGCCCAGUUUAGAUAGCCAGGACAGACCAUGUAAAGAGCUCUUACUGAUCAAUAUGUUCAAGUCCUGGAGACCAUUCUGGCCUGUACAUGUUGCCCAUGCCCAUGCCCAGAGCCCUUUUCCCCCCACUCACAAAGGUUAUUGUCAUAACAGUAUAUUUCUUUAAAAUUAGAUAAUUAGACAAAGUCAUGUAUGAUAUUGCUAGUUUUAUAACUCAAGGCAAAUUUCUCUGUCUUUCUGUGUAUUUAAAACCAAUUAGUGGUUGUUUCCAAAAUUAGUGUCACCUUCUGGUUUCCUAUUCCAGAUGUGCUAAAAGAUGUUAAGUCCUUGCUUCAAUGCCAUCUCAGUUCAUACCAGAGUACUUUAGAGUUAGAAAUCAGCAAAGGAUAAGAGGACAUCUUGGCCUAAUUUUAUUACAUUAAAGUUCUGGAAGUUUUUAGUUCUUAACAAUCCAUAACAAAGAUAUAAUCAAAAAUGAAAAGCAACUAAACCCACCUUUAUAGCACAGUUCUUUAUAUUUUCUUCAAUAGAGGUAGUCUCAUGCACAUACAGAGAGGAAUGUGUGAAGUCAACACAGCUGCGAGUUCCUUCUCUUUCUAGGAAAAAUACUAAGACUUUGUCCUACUUGAGCGUGCAAGAUGCUGUGUCAGGGCCUCAUUAUCAUGCCACAACAACAGUGAUCAGAGUAAGCUACAAAAUUUUAGCUAAGAUUAGACACAAUAUUUGAAUUUUUCCAGGCUAAGGUUGUACUCCUCUUGACUGUUUUUCAUUUUAUUUAAUUAAAGCUAUCAUAAUUUCCGUGUUAAUUUUACCAAACAAUCUUUCCUAAUUUUUUUCAGUCAGAAACUAUUUAAAAAACCCUAAAAACCCAAAAGACCACACUACUGCUUUCACAGCUGCAGAUAAUACCUUAUGUAUUAAAUUCUAUGAAAAUAUUGUAUAAAUCUGACUGACAGCAUUCUAAAGGUAUUAAAUAUUCAUGUUCUGAUUUUCUGAGGAGUCUACAAUUAGAGGGAAGUCAUGUACCUUAUCUUCCUUAGUUCUGAUCUUAGUACACUCUAGAAGUACAUUCAGCCCACUCAGAUAACUAAUGUAAUAGCUACAACAGCAGUACAAAAUUAGGCAUAUCUCUGUUUUCUCGCACAUUUGUUUUCUUUCUCUUUGUACCAAAUGUUGCUUCUUUUAUGUUCCACAAGUUUCAUCAGAUUGUUAUCCUUAUGAAUUUUUCCUGAAGGUGAACAUGUUCCAUCACCUUGUGAUAGUUUCUUAGUGAUACUUUUAUGGAAUACCAUGGCUUUAACAAUAUUAGAACUUGUCCAAUUCCCACUGUUUCUCUAGGUGGCAAAUAGAUUCUAUGUUUUCCUUCUGAUUUCAAACAACUUACUCAUUGUCUCUGGGCUGUGACUUGACCAUAAAUCUUUGUUCCCCAGUGCAGCAUAGAGAAAAUAAAUAAAAUAAAAUAAAUUAAAUAAAUAAAUUUAAAAAAAGAUAUUUUGGAAGGACUUCUAUUCUGUGGCCUCUUUUCAGCAAAAGUGUAGCUUUCAACUGGAGGACACUGAAUGUAGAAUUAAUUGUGUAAAUGUAGACUACGUGAAAUGCUCUAGGGUAUCUGAAAUGAGGUCAGUAAGUAUGACACAAGACCACAGGAAACCAUACCUUAGUAAGGUAACAGGUGAAGGACUAAUGGAUCUGAAACCUCUGAGGCUGCAGUAGUUACCUGUGUUUAGACAGCUGGCUGCCACACUCAGAUGAUUUGAAAAGCCAGUGCUUGACAGCUGUCCUGAGCUGAGUUGUAAAUAGUCAGGAAUAACCACUUCUUAGUAUUCCAACCAGACUUUUAUUUAGUUUUUCUUUUUCUUUAAUUAAGGAAAUAAUAUAACAUAUAAAAAACACAGAAAAUGUACCUUUGUUAUGAGUAUGCUGGAACAGUAUUUCUUUCAAAUUUAUUCAUUUACACCUUCAGUUUUCUUAAACAUUCUAGCAGGUACACCACUAAGAUCCUCUGUCACUACAUUUCAUCAGAGACUUAUUUAAUAAUCCCAUCUGCCUGAAGCAAUAACUACUACAGGAAUAAAGCGAUUAUCUACUGUUACCUGAUUUACACUUUCUCUAAAUCUAAUGAAUUUAAACACACUUGGUGUAAAAUAUCACCAUAACAUUAAGAAGCUUUCAUUUAAAUAUGUUCAUACAAUAUUUACAAUUCAAACAAAUAUGUUUUUUGAUAUAAAAACUGGUCAUUUAAUACAGCAUGGAUAAACAAUUUGAAUGAAAAUGAGAAAAAAAAUUAAAACUAUUUUAAAAUUACUUGAAAGUAGAGAGUGUAGGUAACAAAUGACAACAUACUUGCUGCUGGUCUAAAAGCUGUUUCACAUUGUGCAUAUAUAAGGGCCUAAAGCACAGACAAAACCAUCAUUAAAAUCAUAUAGGAAGAAAUAGGCAAUUAGAUUGGAGCUUGAAGCCUACAAUACUGAGAAGUCUAAGUUCUCAGAAAUUUCACAAGACAAUUGUCAUUUCAGUCACCCAACUUGCAGCUGCAUGAGAGUGGAGUUUAUUCAGGCAUUGGAUUGCAAGUUCAUUUCAGAGGCCAGUUUGAAAAUCCAAGAUUUUUUAAAAAAUUUUUCUUGCCCUGUGGUAGAGAAAAAUAAGUAAUUUUCCUAGAGUACAGAGUGCUUGGUUCUGCUCACAUAAUUUCUUGGUUGACACAUGAGAUAGGCCCAGUUCCACCCAUAUUCUCCUACUUCUGCAUACACAUUUUUUGAUACAGCAAGAAUCACUGUGCUUUUGUCCAAAGAUGACUUUUAGAAGGAGCAGUGAAAGUACAUGUCCAUAUCCCAAGGCUGUAGAGUGGAAAAGUGCAUUCACACUGCAGAAGUGCACAUGAAGGGCAGUACUAAUGCAUGUUUGACAGUGUCCAUAUGAGAGAGACAAGGGAUGCAUAUCAGACCUCUGUAGGACAAGAGUGAGAUGGGGCAGAAAAUUGGUCAUGAUUUUACACUACUUUCACUCUUGUUCUAUAUGAAUGAAUAAUUUUAAGUUUUGAAAACAAUGUUCACCAUAGUGAAUUAACAUUUAAUACUGAAAAGCUGCUUAGUUAACCACAAACUCUAUUCAACAGCAACUAAAGUUGGGGUAAACCAUUGUGAUCAAUUCCAGUAAAUUGAAUAUGUGCACAAAAUACUUAAUAAGCAAAAAUGCAAAAGGAAUGCAAGAGUCUUUUUCUUCACAUAACUGAACACUAUAGAUGAACACAGGAUUAAAAGCUGUAGGCGUCAGUAAAAUAGUUCACACAUCAAAAUACAGCAGAAAAUUUAUUAAACACUCCUGGAUCUAUACUCUGGAAAACACCAGUACCAAAAUCCCUAUUUUUUAUUAGGGGCAAGGGGAUUGCAUCUGACCUGCCCUGCUCUGGCAUACUUAUAAGACUACUACUAGUAAUGAGCACACCUCAAAAAACAGAAAAAACCCACUGCGUAUAAUGGCUUCAGAAGCUAACAUAAAAAAAACAAGGAAGAGGUGAAUAGUAUUAGUGAUCUGGCACAGAAUUUCACAGGAAGAUUUUCAGAU